UACGUAGGGUGCAAGCGUUGUCCGGAAUUAUUGGGCGUAAAGAGCUCGUAGGCGGUUCGUCGCGUCGGCUGUGAAAACCCGGAGCUCAACUCCGGGCCUGCAGUCGAUACGGGCGGACUUGAGUGUUGCAGGGGAGACUGGAAUUCCUGGUGUAGCGGUGAAAUGCGCAGAUAUCAGGAGGAACACCGGUGGCGAAGGCGGGUCUCUGGGCCGUAACUGACGCUGAGGAGCGAAAGCAUGGGGAGCGAACAGG
rnacentral:rRNA from 1 species